rnacentral:rRNA from 1 species
AGCGAACGCUGGCGGCAGGCCUAACACAUGCAAGUCGAACGAACUCUUCGGAGUUAGUGGCGGACGGGUGAGUAACACGUGGGAACAUGCCUUUUGGUUCGGAAUAACUCAGGGAAACUUGUGCUAAUACCGAAUGUGCCCUUCGGGGGAAAGAUUUAUCGCCAUUAGAGCGGCCCGCGUCUGAUUAGCUAGUUGGUGAGGUAACGGCUCACCAAGGCGACGAUCAGUAGCUGGUCUGAGAGGAUGACCAGCCACACUGGGACUGAGACACGGCCCAGACUCCUACGGGAGGCAGCAGUGGGGAAUCUUGCGCAAUGGGCGAAAGCCUGACGCAGCCAUGCCGCGUGAAUGAUGAAGGUCUUAGGAUUGUAAAAUUCUUUCACCGGGGACGAUAAUGACGGUACCCGGAGAAGAAGCCCCGGCUAACUUCGUG